UGGACCUACGGGGCGCAGCAGUAGGGAAUUUUCGUCAAUGGGCGCAAGCCUGAACGAGCAAUGCCGCGUGAACGAGGAAGGUCUUCGGAUCGUAAAGUUCUGUUGAAGGGGAAAAAGAGCGGAGAGAGGAAAUGAACUCCGAUUGAUAUUACCCUUCGAGGAAGUCACGGCUAACUACGUGCCAGCAGCCGCGGUAAUACGUAGGUGGCGAGCGUUAUCCGGAAUGAUUGGGCGUAACGGGUGCGUAGGCGGCCUGCUACGUCUGGAGUGAAAGGCACCGGCUCAACCGGCAUAGGCUCUGGAAA
rnacentral:rRNA from 1 species